GCUCAGUUGGUUAAGCGUCUGACUUUGGCUCAGGUCAUGAUCUCACGGUUCGUGGGUUCAAGCCCCACAUUGGGCU
rnacentral:tRNA from 1 species